UACAGAGGGUGCAAGCGUUAAUCGGAGUUACUGGGCGUAAAGGGCGCGUAGGUGGUUGAAUAAGUUGUUUGUGAAAUACCCGGGCUUAACCUGGGAACUGCAAGCAAUACUGUUUGACUGGAGUACUGUAGAGGGUAGUGGAAUUUCCGGUGUAGCGGUGAAAUGCGUAGAGAUCGGAAGGAACACCAGUGGCGAAGGCGGCUACCUGGACAGAUACUGACACUGAGGCGCGAGAGCGUGGGGAGCAAACAGG
rnacentral:rRNA from 1 species